AAAGGUUUUUUAGAAACCACAACAUUAGAGACCUCACUAGACUUGAGAUUCUCCUCCAUUUGAAGAACAUGGUUCUUCACAUUGAUUGCAUGGCCCUCCUUUGAUGAUUUAAAAGUAACACCGUUAGCACCAUUAGUCUUCCCUUCCUUCAAGGAUGAAGACCCUCUAUUCUUUUUCGCCAUCAAGAGAAGGAUCAAGGGACAUGCAAUCCAACAAACCUACCAAAAACCCUUAAGAAAUCUAACGAAGAAGGUGAUCGGAAAGUGACUCCGGUGGCCUCCACCACCACCUCCCGACUGUUGGCAAUUGGAUCGUGCGAUUCAACGUGAUCGUUAGGAUAACAGGUAAACAAAAUCAGCGGAAGCGAAUAUAAAUCGUUUACCGUACUUCUGGGUUGGUGUAGAGGAUGAACUGCAGAGAACUACCUCUAAUCUUCUACUGUAUGUCCCAAGUGUGAUCCUUCUGUUGUGUGGGCAACAGUCUGCAGGAUCUCUCAAUCUGCUUCUUUUCCCUUCUCUCACCAAAAGAGGCGCAGGAAUAACCUUAGGGUUCCAGGAAGCUGAGUUCACUUAUAUACUGGGCUACAGCAGGGACCAGGAGGAGAAAUUGGACUGGGCCUCAAUUGAAUUUAAUUAACCAAGCUUAGCCCAAAGCUUUUAAUUAAAUCCAAUAAUAAUAAUAUAGUCCACUAAAAUAUUAUUACUGUUGGCUUUUCCACGCCUUCCACCAUUGAAACCCUUUCCACCCUUCAAGGGAGGCUGCAAACCUCGUUUGUGAAUAUCUUGAUCGCCUAACAACGGAAGAUGUUGUUCCUUAGUACCUACAUCCGUAGCAUCAACACCUUUAGAACCAACCACACCUCCCGUCGCAUCUCCUCCUCCUUUUAAUACCUCUCGCACCACCUCCAACGAAGAUGAAGUUGCAUGCAAGGUAUCAAUAGGACUCAUAUCAACCACGGUUGCCUCCUCUACACCCUCCAUCGGACAAGAUGUUUUCAAGGGUUUAUUUGAAGCAACAACAUUAGACAUCUCAUUAGACUUGAGAUUUUCUUCCAUUUGAAGAACAUGAUUCUUCACAUUGAUUGCAUGUCCUUCCUUUGAUGCUUUGAAUGCAACACCACUAGCACCAUUAGACUUCCCUCCCUUCAAGGAUGAAGAUUCUCUAUUCUUUUUAGCCAUCAAGGGAGAGAUCGAAUGACAUGCAAUACAACAAACUCACGAAAAACCCUCAAAAAUCGAAGUAGGAGAUGGCCGGAAAAUAGACUCCGGCGACCUCCACCACCAACCGCAACCACUCACCGACGAGAUACCGCCGGCUAGAAGACCAAAUCACAAAAGAAAAGCAAAAGAUUUUAGAGUGAGAAACUAAAAUCUCCAGAGCAUCUCUCUCUUCACUUUCCUUGAGUAACUAUGACUCUCUUAAGGUAGCCAAAUGCCUCGUCAUCUAAUUAGUGACACGCAUGAAUGGAUUAACGAGAUUCCCUUGUCUACUAUCCAGCGUAAUCAUAGCCAAGGGAACGGGCUUGGCGAAAUCAGCGGGGAAAGAAGACCCUGUUGAGCUUGACUCUAGUCUGACUUUGUGAAAUGACUUGAGAGGUGUAGGAUAAGUGGGAGCCAAAAGGCAAAAGUGAAAUACCACUACUAUUAAUGUUAUUUUACUUAUUCCAUGAAUUGGAGGCGGGGCAUCGCCCUUCUUUUUGGACCCAAAGCUCGCCCCGGCGGGCCGAUCCAGGCGGAAGACAUUGUCAGGUGGGGAGUUUGGGUGGGGUGGCACAUCUGUUAAAAGAUAACGCAGGUGUCCUAAGAUGAGCUAAAGGUGAAUAGAAAUCUCAUGCGGAACAGAAGGGUAAAAGCUCAUUUGAUUCUGAUUUCCAGUAUGAAUACAAACCGUGAAAUAGUGGCCUAACGAUCCUUUAGACAUUCAGAAUUUGAAGCUAGAGGUGUCAAAAAAGUUACCACAGGGAUAAGUGGCUUGUGGCAGCCAAGCGUUCAUAGCGACGUUGCUUUUUGCUCCUUCGAUGUCGGCUCUUCCUAUCAUUGUGAAGCAUAAUUCACCAAGUGUUGGAUUGUUCACCCACCAAUAGGGAACAUGAGCUAGGUUUAGACCGUCGUGAGACAGGUUAGUUUUACCCUACUGAUGAUGGUGUCGCAAUAGUAAUUCAACCUAGUACGAGAGAAACCAAUGAUUCACACAAUUGGUCAUCGCGCUUGGAUGAAAAGCGAGUGGCGCGAAGCUACCGUACGCUAGAUUAUGACUAAACGCCUCUAAGUCAGAAUCCGAGCUAGACACGAUGCAUGCGCCCACCGUCCGCUCCCCGACCCGUAGUAGGGGCCCCCGGGCCCCCAAGGGCAUGUGUCGUUGGCCAAGCCCCGCGACGGACGAGCCGCGUGGACCAUCUCAAAGUAUAAUUCCAAUCGAGCGCCAGGUAGAAUCCUUUACUGAUGACUUAAAUACGUGACCGGGUAUUGUAAGCGGUAGAGUGGACUUGCUUCCAUGAUCCGCUGAGAUUCAACC
rnacentral:rRNA from 1 species